UGUGUGUGUGUGUAUAUAUAUAUAUGUGUGUGUGUGUGUGUGUAUGUACACACACACACACACACACACACACACAUAUAUAGUCUAUGAUUAAACUGGGGGAGGAGUCCCUACAUAUAA